rnacentral:rRNA from 1 species
GCGUACAUGGUGUUGUGGGGAGCGUGGGUUCGGUUCAGCAUGACCGAGACGCUGAUGAGGGCUUACGGGUAGUCGAAGCUGGUGGGAAACAGUACCGGAGUGGGUGAGAGUCCCGUAGACGAAACGCGUGGCCCCGGUGUGACACGUGUCCCCGAGUAGCACGGAACUCGUGGAAUUCCGUGUGAAUCUGCCAGGACCACCUGGUAAGGCUAAAUACUUCCUGAUGACCGAUAGCGGAUCAGUACCGUGAGGGAAUGGUGAAAAGUACCCCGGGAGGGGAGUGAAAGAGUACCUGAAAC